UCGGAUUGACUCCAAAACUUGGGGAACAUCAUAAUAUUGUGGGAGGAGUCAUUUGGUGGGUUUUGAGUGAAAUCCAAUCUCUAGAACUAUACAAUACACCAACAACCCCAUUUCAGAACGAACUUCGUUCGAACCUGAAUUGUCCGAUUUCAAGGACCAAUCGAUAUCGGAUUGAGUCCAAAACUUGGGGAACAUCAUAAUAUUGUGGGAGGAGUUAUUUCGUGGGUUUUGGGUGAAAUCCAAUCACUAGAACUAUACAAUACACCAACCACUCCAUUUCAGAACGAACUUCGUAC
rnacentral:lncRNA from 1 species